UAAGGGUUGAUGCCAACUAUGGUUAGUAAUGAACAAAAGGGUUAUAGGUGGUCAGCUGGAGCCUUUCUGUGUGGAGCUUGCACCGUCUGAGAACUAUGGCUUCCUCCUACAGACAAAAGAUAUGCUGCAAAGUUAACUGCACAGGUGAAAACAACCAUGCAGUGACUCCACACCGUGUCACCCAGCAGGGCCAUGUGCUCCUCCAAAGCCCUCCGACGCUUCUCUGAGAAGACAGAGCUUAGGUGUGCUCUGAGCACUGGAGUCACACCACCAGCCAGGAGCAUUCACAACUGUGAGCCACAGUCCGGCCACUUCCCCAAUCCUGCUGGAGCAUAAAGUCCUCUCUUUGGUUCCAAACUCUUCUUUACCC